AUGUGGAUCUCCUCCGGCCGGGUUGUGAUGAGCUACCCGUGCCAGAGGCCGCGGCAGGCGCGGCGGCGGCGACGGCGGCGGCGGCGGCGGGAGCGCUGGUGGGGGGAGGGGCUGCGGCAGCAGCGGGAGAGGACGAUGCAAAAGGAAUCGGCUUCCUUUUUGUCCGACAUCUUAGCGAGGCAGCAGUGGUGUCUGCUGCUCUCCGAGCUUCGCAAUGCCGCCCAGGAUGACAAGAAGAAGAAAGAUGCCAGAAAGUCGGCCAAGAAAGACAAAGACCCAGUGAACAAAUCUGGGGCAAGGCUAAAAAGAAGAAGUGGUCUAAAGGCAAAGUUCGGGACAAGCUUAAUAACCUAGUCUUGUUUGACAAAGCCACGUAUGACAAACUCUGCAAGGAAGUUCCCAAUUACAAGCUUAUAACUCCAGCAGUGGUCUCUGAGAGACUGAAGAUUCUUGGUUCUCUGGCCAGGGCAGCCCUUCAGGAGCUCCUUAGUAAAGGUCUUAUCAAACUGGUUUCAAAGCACAGAGCUCAAGUAAUUUACACUAGAAAUACCAAGGGUGGAGAUGCCCCAGCUGCUGGUGAAAAUGCAUGAACAGGUCCAACCAACUGUACAUUUGGAAAAAUAAAACUUUAUUAAGUAAAACAAAAAAAAAAAAAAGAAA